rnacentral:rRNA from 1 species
AGUGAACGCUGGCGGUAGGCCUAACACAUGCAAGUCGAACGGCAGCACAGUAAGAGCUUGCUCUUACGGGUGGCGAGUGGCGGACGGGUGAGGAAUACAUCGGAAUCUACUUUUUCGUGGGGGAUAACGUAGGGAAACUUACGCUAAUACCGCAUACGACCUACGGGUGAAAGCAGGGGAUCUUCGGACCUUGCGCGAUUGAAUGAGCCGAUGUCGGAUUAGCUAGUUGGCGGGGUAAAGGCCCACCAAGGCGACGAUCCGUAGCUGGUCUGAGAGGAUGAUCGGCCAACUGGGAACUGAACACGGGCCCAAGCCCCUAGGGGAGGCAGCAGUGGGGAAUAUGGGCAAAUGGGCGCAAGCCUAUACCAGCCAACCCGGGGGGGGGAAGAAGGCCUUGGGUUUGUAAAGCCCUUUUGUGGGGAAAAAAAAGCAGCAGGUUAAAACCCCGCUGUUUUGACGGUACCAAAAAAAAAAGCACCGGCUAAUUUCUG